ACGGACCGUCCAAACGUUAUUCGGAAUCACUGGGCUUAAAGGGUGCGUAGGCGGCCCGGCAAGUUGGGUGUGAAAGCCCUCGGCUCAACCGAGGAAUUGCGCCCAAAACUACCGGGCUAGAGGAAGACAUAGGUGAGCGGAACUUAGGGUGGAGCGGUGAAAUGCGUUGAGAUCCUAAGGAACACCAGUAGCGAAAGCGGCUCACUGGGUCUUUUCUGACGCUGAGUGCACGAAAGCUAGGGGAGCGAAGAG
rnacentral:rRNA from 1 species